rnacentral:rRNA from 1 species
GUGCAGCAGGCGCGAAACUUUACAAUGUGCGAAAGCACGAUAAGGGAACUCUGAGUGCCUCCUAAGGAGGCUGUUCAGGUGUCUAAAAGCACCUGAAGGAAGGGCUGGGUAAGACCGGUGCCAGCCGCCGCGGUAACACCGGCAGCCCAAGUGGUAGCCACGUUUAUUGGGUCUAAAGCGUCCGUAGCCGGCUGGGUAAGUUCCUUGGGAAAUUUGGCUGCUUAACAGUCAAGCUUUCAGGGAAUACUGCCCGGCUUGGGACCGGGAGAGGUCAGAGGUACUCCAGGGGUAGGGGUGAAAUCCAUUAAUCCUUGGGGGACCACCGGUAGCGAAGGCGUCUGACCAGACCGGGUCCGACGGUGGGGGACGAAGGCUAGGGGCGCGAACCGGAUUAGAUACCCGGGUAGU